UACGGAGGGGGUUAGCGUUGUUCGGAAUUACUGGGCGUAAAGGGCGCGUAGGCGGCCUUGUAAGUCUCGUGUGAAAGCCCUCGGCUUAACUGAGGAUCUGCACGGGAUACUGUAAGGCUCGAGUUCGGGAGAGGAAAGCGGAAUUCCGGGUGUAGCGGUGAAAUGCGUAGAUAUCCGGAGGAACACCAGAGGCGAAGGCGGCUUUCUGGACCGACACUGACGCUGAGGCGCGAAAGCUAGGGGAGCAAACGGG
rnacentral:rRNA from 1 species